rnacentral:rRNA from 1 species
UACGGAGGGUGCGAGCGUUGUCCGGAAUCACUGGGCGUAAAGGGCGCGUAGGCGGCUCGGCAAGUCAAUGGUGAAAGCUCGUGGCUCAACUGCGAGUCGGCCACUGAUACUGCUAGGCUUGAGCACUGUAGAGGCAGAUGGAAUUCCGGGUGUAGCGGUGGAAUGCGUAGAGAUCCGGAAGAACACCGGUGGCGAAGGCGGUCUGCUGGGCAGUUGCUGACGCUGAGGCGCGACAGCGUGGGGAGCAAACAGG